AUGCUUCCCAUCAGAAGGCCACCCGAGCCCGUCACAAGGGGGCGGCGCAUAACACUGCUCACCAACCACUUCAAAGUCUCCGGGAAGCCAACGCAUGAAUUCUUUUACCACUACCACGUGGAUCUCAAGUACAAAGACGGUCAUCCCGUGAAGGGAGAAGGCAUGAGGAGGAAAGUGAUGAGGCAGCUCCACGAGACCUAUGCCUCUUUUCUUGCAGACAAGCAGUUCGCCUACGAUGGCGAGACGGGCCUCUGCACCGCUGGGCCUCUUCCUUUUACCACCAAUGUGUUUGAUGAUGUCGUGGUCGAUGCUUCAUCCGGAAGGAUUGCAGCAACGAGCGGGAGCCAUGGAGGAGAUGGCAGCCCGGGGCCAAGUGACAGCAAGAGAAUGAAACCGGCAGUAGACUCCAAAAUUUUCAAGGUGGACAUAACCUUAGCGGCAAAGGUUCGGAUGAACAUUUCCUCGCAGGAUGCUCUUCGGGUUCUUGACAUCAUUCUGAGGCAGCACUCUGCAAAACAGAAUUGCCUUUUAGUCCGACAGUCUUUUUAA
rnacentral:rRNA from 1 species